GAUGAACGCUGGCGGCGUGCCUAAUACAUGCAAGUCGAGCGAACAGAUGAGGAGCUUGCUCCUCUGACGUUAGCGGCGGACGGGUGAGUAACACGUGGAUAACCUACCUAUAAGACUGGGACAACUUCGGGAAACCGGAGCUAAUACCGGAUAAUAUAUUGAACCGCAUGGUUCAAUAGUGAAAGACGGUUUUGCUGUCACUUAUAGAUGGAUCCGCGCCGCAUUAGCUAGUUGGUAAGGUAACGGCUUACCGAGGCAACGAUGCGUAGCCGACCUGAGAGGGUGAUCGGCCACACUGGAACUGAGACACGGUCCAGACUCCUACGGGAGGCAGCAGUAGGGAAUCUUCCGCAAUGGGCGAAAGCCUGACGGAGCAACGCCGCGUGAGUGAUGAAGGUCUUCGGAUCGUAAAACUCUGUUAUUAGGGAAGAACAAAUGUGUAAGUAACUAUGCACGUCUUGACGGUACCUAAUCAGAAAGCCACGGCUAACUACGUG
rnacentral:rRNA from 1 species